rnacentral:rRNA from 1 species
UAGGGAAUCUUCCGCAAUGGGCGAAAGCCUGACGGAGCAACGCCGCGUGAGUGAUGAAGGUCUUCGGUUCGUAAAACUCUGUUAUUAGGGAAGAACAAAUGUGUAAGUAACUAUGCACGUCUUGACGGUACCUAAUCAGAAAGCCACGGCUAACUACGUGCCAGCAGCCGCGGUAAUACGUAGGUGGCAAGCGUUAUCCGGAAUUAUUGGGCGUAAAGCGCGCGUAGGCGGUUUUUUAAGUCUGAUGUGAAAGCCCACGGCUCAACCGUGGAGGGUCAUUGGAAACUGGAAAACUUGAGUGCAGAAGAGGAAAGUGAAAUUCCAUGUGUAGCGGUGAAAUGCGCAGAGAUAUGGAGGAACACCAGUGGCGAAGGCGACUUUCUGGUCUGUAACUGACGCUGAUGUGCGAAAGCGUGGGGAUCAAACAGG